UGAUGUCUGUUCCUCUCAUUCUUGCAAGCCAUAGACAAUGGGAUUUUAUGUCAUCAAAUAAUAAAGCUGGCCUUUCUUCACUCAGUGUGUCUUUAGGUGGGUUUGGCCCUUUAUGGCACCACUGAAUUUUGCAGUCACACAUUC